rnacentral:sRNA from 1 species
GGUAGAGAACGUGAAGGAUAACGUUGCGUUAGCAACGGCCCGAAGGGCGAGACGAAGUCGAGUCAUCCUGCACGACCCACCA